UACGUAUAGUUAUCCGGUCCCCUCGUAGUUUUGGCCCCCGCACUUUACAAGGUACGACACACAGUAUAAUAAUAACGUUAUAUUAUGUAUACACAGCGCAGCAGAAAUCGCCGUCUCCGGCGAAAUUUCGGUGUCGGCGUCACGGGUACAUAAACACGACGACAAUAUUACUAUGUCAACGUAAUCGUGUGUGUACAGAGUAUUACACCCGCGGCAAACUGCGUCAGAGGCCCACGCGACAACAGCUGCUGGAGGGUAUAAACCCCCCUCACCCCUCU